UUCUGCUAGAGUUGAACCAAAGAAGUUUUCAGGGAGUCUAUAGAACAUGAACUAAUUCUCCAAUUCUUUUGUUUAUACGAUCAUAAAUCUGGAGGUAAAAUGUGAACUGGAACGACCUCCAGGAAUUGAUGCAGAGUGAAAGGAGCAGAACCAGAACAUUGUACACAGUGACGAUACACUGUGAUACAAUCGAAUGUAAUGGACUUCUCUACUAGCAGCAAUGCAGUGAUCCAGGACAAUUCUGAGGGACUUAGGAGAAAGAACACUAUCCACAUCCAGAGAAAGAACUGUGGGCAUAGAAACACAGACAAAAACAACUGCUUAAUCACAUGGGUGAGACAGUUGAGGUGAAAAGACUUGUCACACAGGAUGGCCUCCUAAGACAGUGACCUGACAAUUUCAUCCAAAACCGAGAGAUUGAAAAAUGGGGGAAGAAUGAAAUUUGGGUGGCUCAAACAAUAAAUGGAGAUAUAAGGUAAGGUGCA
rnacentral:lncRNA from 1 species